rnacentral:rRNA from 1 species
AUGGAAGCAUUGAAGAAAGAGAGUGAGGAGGCAUGGAAGUGGUUGUCCAACAUACCAGUCCAUACUUGGGCCAGGCAUAGAAUGGAUACUAUAUGCAAGACAGACCUUGUUGUAAACAAUCUUAGUGAAGUUUUCAACAGGAUGAUUCUGGAUGUUAGGAACAAGCCCAUAAGGACAAUGCUUGAAGGAAUGAGGACAAAACUCAUGAUCAAGUUUCAGAAGAUUAGGGAGAAGACAGAGACAUGUAGGUGGGAUAUCACACCCACUUACUCUGAGAUAUUGGAGGAGGCCAAGAAGUGGGCAAAAUUUUGUGAUGCAUAUAUGGCUGGACCAGGAAUUUGGCAAGUUACAAGUAGUUCAGAAAAGACCUACUGUGUAAACCUAAACAACUACACUUGUGACUGCAGGAGGUGGGAUAUGACAGCUGUUCCAUGUAGUCAUGCUAUGGCAGCAAUGCAGAAGGUGAAACUACACCCUGAAGAUUUUGUCCAUGAGUUCUUCAAGAAGCCCCUCUACUGUGAAACCUACAAGCAUAUUAUAUACCCUGUUCCAGGCCCUGAUUGUUGGCCACACACCAUGGGGGAUGACAUAUCUCCUCCAGUAUUCAAAGAAAAGAAGGGUAAAAAGCAGACAGCUAGGAGGAAAGGACAUUUUGAGGUGCCUGCCAAGAAGGAUACAUCAAGAAUUGGGACAGUGACCUGUAGCAAUUGCAAUAUGCAAGGUCACAGAUAUACCACUUGUGGUGUUCCACUGAAACCCAAACUGCAGAUGAGAAAGAAUAAUCACCAGGAGAAUAGGUCAGACUACUCUUCAUCUACCAGAGCUUCUACAGGUGUGGUUGCACCCCCACCCCCACCCCCACCACCACCAUCCGCACCAUCAGCACCAGCCAUAGCUAGGAAGAGGCCUGUAACAGCCACAACUACUCCAGGACCAGCAAAGAGGAACAAGGGAGCUGCUUCUGCUACUCCAGCACCAGCCACAUCAACACCUGCCAAGAAGACCAAAGCAACCAAGAAGACAGGGGCUCCUAGCACAUCUUCACCAGCCAAGAACACAAGGUCAUCCAUUG